rnacentral:rRNA from 1 species
UACGGAGGGUGCAAGCGUUAUCCGGAUUUACUGGGUUUAAAGGGUGCGUAGGUGGGUCUGUAAGUCAGUGGUGAAAUCCCCGAGCUUAACUUGGGAACUGCCAUUGAUACUAUAGAUCUUGAAUACUGUGGAGGUCAGCGGAAUAUGUCAUGUAGCGGUGAAAUGCUUAGAUAUGACAUAGAACACCAAUUGCGAAGGCAGCUGGCUGCACAAAUAUUGACACUGAGGCACGAAAGCGUGGGGAGCAAACAGG